UCAGCCUAACACUGAGAUGGCUUUACCCUGGACGGCUGGUCUCCUGAGUCUCCCUUCUCUCCUGCCUCAACUCUUUGGUGACUGCUGCUGAGUUCUGCAGUUCACUUCAUCCUUGGGGAGACAAGGGAGGAAAAACAUCUAUGAAACUCACUCUGGCGAUGCUGGAUCAUAUGGACGAUGUUACAGAAUUACCUGGUAAUAAAUGAAGAGCUAUUGAGGAAAGGGAAUAAUACUCAGCUCUUCCACC